rnacentral:snoRNA from 1 species
AAGACUAUACUUUCAAGGGAUAAUUUCUAUAGUUUGUUACUAGAGAAAUCUCAGUGAUGGUGUAGAGUACCAAAGGCAAGAAUAGU